GUGAAUUGACCUGAUAAAAUAACAAUAUGAGGAUAAGGCUUUGUAACAAGAAAAAACAUUGCUCUAAAAACAUUUUUUUUUCAUUUAGUGCCAUAUCCUUAUAUCUUUUCUAUGUCAAGUCAAUAUACUAUUGUUGACUUUAUACUGCAAUCUGAAACAAUGGUAUACCUACUUAAUUAUUUUGAGCUCACAUGAAAGGCCAAAUGUGGUUUUCUUUUAAUUUACUUGGCAAAGGUCGUCCGUUGUCGUAUGGAAACUUUUACAAAUAUCUUUUCCUCUAUAACUUUUAGACCAAAUUUAAUCAAACUCGGCCACAAUCAUGAUUUGGGUAUUUUGUUGAAAAAAUGUGUUGAAGUUAAUGAAACAUUAAUGUAUACAGGGACAUUUAUGAAGAAUUUAUAAUACUAUAAUUAGUUAUUAGAACCCAAU
rnacentral:lncRNA from 1 species